rnacentral:rRNA from 1 species
GGUGCUUGCAUCAUGAAUUACAUUUGAGUGAGUGGCGAACUGGUGAGUAACACGUGGGAAACCUGCCCAGAAGCGGGGGAUAACACCUGGAAACAGAUGCUAAUACCGCAUAACAACUUGGACCGCAUGGUCCGAGCUUGAAAGAUGGCUUCGGCUAUCACUUUUGGAUGGUCCCGCGGCGUAUUAGCUAGAUGGUGAGGUAACGGCUCACCAUGGCAAUGAUACGUAGCCGACCUGAGAGGGUAAUCGGCCACAUUGGGACUGAGACACGGCCCAAACUCCUACGGGAGGCAGCAGUAGGGAAUCUUCCACAAUGGACGAAAGUCUGAUGGAGCAACGCCGCGUGAGUGAAGAAGGGUUUCGGCUCGUAAAACUCUGUUGUUAAAGAAGAACAUAUCUAAGAGUAACUGUUCAGGUAUUGACGGUAUUUAACCAGAAAGCCACGGCUAACUACGUGCCAGCAGCCGCGGUAAUACGUAGGUGGCAAGCGUUGUCCGGAUUUAUUGGGCGUAAAGCGAGCGCAGGCGGUUUUUUAAGUCUGAUGUGAAAGCCUUCGGCUCAACCGAAGAAGUGCAUCGGAAACUGGGAAACUUGAGUGCAGAAGAGGACAGUGGAACUCCAUGUGUAGCGGUGAAAUGCGUAGAUAUAUGGAAGAACACCAGUGGCGAAGGCGGCUGUCUGGUCUGUAACUGACGCUGAGGCUCGAAAGUAUGGGUAGCAAACAGGAUUAGAUACCCUGGUAGUCCAUACCGUAAACGAUGAAUGCUAAGUGUUGGAGGGUUUCCGCCCUUCAGUGCUGCAGCUAACGCAUUAAGCAUUCCGCCUGGGGAGUACGGCCGCAAGGCUGAA